GACGAACGCUGGCGGCGUGCUUAACACAUGCAAGUCGAACGGAAAGGCCCUGCUUUUGUGGGGUGCUCGAGUGGCGAAAGGGUGAGUAACACGUGAGUAACCUGCCCUUGACUUUGGGAUAACUUAAGGGAACUGGGGCUAAUACCGGAUAGGAGCUCCUGCUGCAUGGGGGGGGUUGGAAAGUUUCGGCGGUUGGGGAUGGACUCGCGGCUUAUCAGCGUGUUGGUGGGGGAGGGGCUGACAAAGGCUUUGAAUGGUAGCCGGCCUGAGAGGGUGACCGGCCACCUUGCGACUGCGAUACGGCCCAGUCUCCUACGUGACGCAGCAGUCGGGAAUCUUGCGCAAUGGGCGGACGUCUGAGGCAGCAGCGCCGCGUGCGUGAUGCCGUCCUUCGGGUUGUAAACCGCUUUCGCCUUUGACGUAGCGUGCUUGACGGUAACGGGUAAAGAAGCACCGGCUAACUACGUG
rnacentral:rRNA from 1 species